rnacentral:rRNA from 1 species
GAAAUGCGAUAAGUAAUGUGAAUUGCAGAAUUCAGUGAAUCAUCGAAUCUUUGAACGCACCUUGCGCUCCAUGGUAUUCCGUGGAGCAUGCCUGUUUGAGUGUCACGUCAACCCUCAUUCAUGUGAUGUUACAGUCGCAUGAAUGGAUUUGGACCGUGUCGUAAUCGACUCGUCCCGAAAUGCAUUAGCUUGCGCUUUUAGAGUGCUGGGCACCGGUGUGAUAAUUAUCUGCGCCAACGCCUUAAGCCUCUUCAGCGGCGCUGCUUACAGCCGUCCUGACGGACAACUAUUUUAACGCUUUGGCCUCAAAUCAGGUAGGACUACCCGCUGAACUUAA